rnacentral:rRNA from 1 species
UACGUAGGUGGCAAGCGUUGUCCGGAUUUAUUGGGUUUAAAGGGUGCGUAGGCGGUCUUAUAAGUCAGUGCUGAAAUAUCCCGGCUUAACCGGGAGGGUGGCAUUGAUACUGCAAGACUUGAGUAGAGUUGAGGUUGGCGGAAUUGACGGUGUAGCGGUGAAAUGCUUAGAUAUCGUCAAGAACACCGAUGGUGAAGACAGCUAACUAAGCUCUAACUGACGCUGAGGCACGAAAAGUGUGGGGGAUCAAAACAGGG